rnacentral:rRNA from 1 species
AUUGAACGCUGGCGGCAUGCCUUACACAUGCAAGUCGAACGGCAGCACGGACUUCGUUCUGGUGGCGAGUUGGGAACGGGUGAGUAAUGUAUCGGAGCGUACCUUUCAUUUGUGGAUGACGUAGCGAAAGUUACGCUAAUACCACAUAUUCUGUGAUCAUGAACGCCGGGGUUCGAAAGACCUUGCCCUGCUUGAGGGCCCGAUAUCGGAUUAGCUAGUUGGUUGGGUAAGGGCCUACCAAGGCGACGAUCUGUAGCGGGUCUGAGAGGAUGAUCGGCCACACUGGAACUGAGACACGGUCCAGACUCCUACGGGAGGCAGCAGUGGGGAAUUUUGGACAAUGGGGGCAAGCAUGAUCCAGCAAUGCCGCGUGAGUGAAGAAGGCCUUCGGGUUGUAAAGCUCUGUUGGGAGGGAAGAAAAGGUAUAGAAUAAUACGUGGAGUGGAUGACGGUACCGGAAUAAGAAGCAACGGCUAACUACGUG